rnacentral:sRNA from 1 species
GUGCGACGGCGCAGGUCUGCACCAUGGCGGCCCGGCUUGUGAGCCGAUGCGGGGCUGUGCGUGCAGCUCCCCACAGCGGCCCGCUGGCGUCCUGCCGCAGGUGGUCCGGCGCCUCAACAGACACCGUGUAUGACGUGGUGGUGUCGGGUGGAGGCCUGGUGGGCGCUGCCAUGGCCUGUGCCUUGGGAUAUGAUAUUCACUUUCAUGACAAGAAAAUCCUGUUGCUCGAAGCAGGUCCAAAGAAAGUACUGGAGAAAUUGUCAGAAACUUACAGCAACAGGGUCAGCUCCAUUUCCCCUGGCUCUGCAACGCUUCUCAGUAGUUUUGGUGCCUGGGACCAUAUCUGCAACAUGAGAUACAGAGCCUUUCGGCGAAUGCAGGUGUGGGACGCCUGCUCAGAGGCCCUGAUAAUGUUUGAUAAGGAUAAUUUAGAUGACAUGGGCUAUAUCGUGGAGAAUGAUGUCAUCAUGCAUGCUCUCACUAAGCAGUUGGAGGCUGUGUCUGGUGAGGCCCCCAUCUUCCAUCUUGCAUUCAUUGGGAAGUGAACUGCUUAGGACUUACUGGAAGAAAGGAUCU